CCUUUAAUGUUUGAUGUUCUAACGUGGACCCGUGAUCCGGGUUGCGGACAGUGUCUGGUGGGUAGUUUGACUGGGGCGGUCUCCUCCUAAAGAGUAACGGAGGAGCACGAAGGUUGGCUAAUCCUGGUCGGACAUCAGGAGGUUAGUGCAAUGGCAUAAGCCAGCUUGACUGCGAGCGUGACGGCGCGAGCAGGUGCGAAAGCAGGUCAUAGUGAUCCGGUGGUUCUGAAUGGAAGGGCCAUCGCUCAACGGAUAAAAGGUACUCCGGGGAUAACAGGCUGAUACCGCCCAAGAGUUCAUAUCGACGGCGGUGUUUGGCACCUCGAUGUCGGCUCAUCACAUCCUGGGGCUGAAGUAGGUCCCAAGGGUAUGGCUGUUCGCCAUUUAAAGUGGUACGCGAGCUGGGUUUAGAACGUCGUGAGACAGUUCGGUCCCUAUCUGCCGUGGGCGCUGGAGAACUGAGGGGGGCUGCUCCUAGUACGAGAGGACCGGAGUGGACGCAUCACUGGUGUUCGGGUUGUCAUGCCAAUGGCACUGCCCGGUAGCUAAAUGCGGAAGAGA
rnacentral:rRNA from 1 species